rnacentral:SRP_RNA from 1 species
GCCGGGAGUCGUGGCGUGCUCCUGUAAUCCAGCUACUUGGAGGCCGGGUACAGAGGAUGUUUCUGGUUCGGGGGGGUCCCAAGUCGAAUGACUCGCGCAUUUUUCACGAUCGUCGGGAAUAUCUCGGUAGUCGA